rnacentral:rRNA from 1 species
UUGAACGCUGGCGGAAUGCUUUACACAUGCAAGUCGAACGGCAGCACGGGGGCAACCCUGGUGGCGAGUGGCGAACGGGUGAGUAACAUAUCGGAACAUAUCCUAUCGUGGGGGAUAACUAGUCGAAAGAUUAGCUAAUACCGCAUACGUCCUGAGGGAGAAAGCGGGGGAUCUCAAGACCUCGCGCGAUUGGAGUGGCCGAUAGCUGAUUAGCUAGAUGGUGAGGUAAAGGCUCACCAUGGCGAUGAUCAGUAGCUGGUCUGAGAGGAUGAUCAGCCACACUGGGACUGAGACACGGCCCAGACUCCUACGGGAGGCAGCAGUGGGGAAUUUUGGACAAUGGGGGCAACCCUGAUCCAGCCAUUCCGCGUGAGUGAAGAAGGCCUUCGGGUUGUAAAGCUCUUUCGGCAGGAACGAAACGGUGGUAUCUAAUACAUACCAUUACUGACGGUACCUGAAGAAGAAGCACCGGCUAACUACGU